rnacentral:rRNA from 1 species
AUUGAACGCUGGCGGCAGGCUUAACACAUGCAAGUCGAGCGGGGGAAGGUAGCUUGCUACCGGACCUAGCGGCGGACGGGUGAGUGAUGCUUAGGAAUCUGCCUAUUAGUGGGGGACAACAUCUCGAAAGGGAUGCUAAUACCGCAUACGUCCUACGGGAGAAAGCAGGGGAUCUUCGGACCUUGCGCUAAUAGAUGAGCCUAAGUCGGAUUAGCUAGUUGGUGGGGUAAAGGCCUACCAAGGCGACGAUCUGUAGCGGGUCUGAGAGGAUGAUCCGCCACACUGGGAGUGAGACACGGCCCAGACUCCUACGGGAGGCAGCAGUGGGGAAUAUUGGACAAUGGGGGGAACCCUGAUCCAGCCAUGCCGCGUGUGUGAAGAAGGCCUUAUGGUUGUAAAGCACUUUAAGCGAGGAGGAGGCUACUCUAGUUAAUACCUAGGGAUAGUGGACGUUACUCGCAGAAUAAGCACCGGCUAACUCUGUGCCAGCAGCCGCAGUAA